rnacentral:misc_RNA from 1 species
GAUGAAGAACGCAGCGAAAUGCGAUAAGUAGUGUGAAUUGCAGAAUUCAGUGAAUCAUCGAAUCUUUGAACGCACAUUGCGCCCUUUGGUAUUCCUUAGGGCAUGCCUGUUCGAGCGUCAUUUAAACCUUCAAGCUCAGCUUGGUGUUGGGUGACUGUCCGCCGCCUCCGGGCGGUCGGACUCGCCUCAAAUUGAUUGGCGGCCGGUACUUUGGCUUCGAGCGCAGCAGAAACGCGAACUCGAGGCCGUCGUCCUGGCUCCCAGAAGCUAUCUUCACAAUUUUGACCUCGGAUCAGGUAGGGAUACCCGCUGAACUUAAGCAUAUCAAUAAGCGGAGGA